rnacentral:rRNA from 1 species
GAUGAACGCUGGCGGCGUGCCUAAUACAUGCAAGUCGAGCGAAUGGAUUAAGAGCUUGCUCUUAUGAAGUUAGCGGCGGACGGGUGAGUAACACGUGGGUAACCUGCCCAUAAGACUGGGAUAACUCCGGGAAACCGGGGCUAAUACCGGAUAAUAUUUUGAACUGCAUGGUUCAAAAUUGAAAGGCGGCUUCGGCUGUCACUUAUGGAUGGACCCGGGUCGCAUUAGCUAGUUGGGGAGGUAACGGCUCACCAAGGCAACGAUGCGUAGCCGACCUGAGAGGGUGAUCGGCCACACUGGGACUGAGACACGGCCCAGACUCCUACGGGAGGCAGCAGUAGGGAAUCUUCCGCAAUGGACGAAAGUCUGACGGAGCAACGCCGCGUGAGUGAUGAAGGCUUUCGGGUCGUAAAACUCUGUUGUUAGGGAAGAACAAGUGCUAGUUGAAUAAGCUGGCACCUUGACGGUACCUAACCAGAAAGCCACGGCUAACUACGUGCCAGCAGCCGCAGUAA